UACGUAGGGAGCAAGCGUUGUUCGGAUUUACUGGGCGUAAAGGGCGCGUAGGCGGCAAAUCAAGUCAGCUGUGAAAUCUCCGAGCUUAACUCGGAACGGUCAGCUGAUACUGUUUUGCUAGAGUGCAGAAAGGGCAAUCGGAAUUCUUGGUGUAGCGGUGAAAUGCGUAGAUAUUGGGAAGAACACCUGAGGCGAAGGCGGGUUGCUGGGCUGAUACUGACGCUGAGGCGCGAAAGCCAGGGGAGCAAACGGG
rnacentral:rRNA from 1 species